UACGGAGGGUGCAAGCGUUAUCCGGAUUCACUGGGUUUAAAGGGUGCGUAGGCGGGCAGGUAAGUCAGUGGUGAAAUCUCCGAGCUUAACUCGGAACUGCCGUUGAUACUAUUUGUCUUGAAUAUUGUGGAGGUAAGCGGAAUACGUCAUGUAGCGGUGAAAUGCUUAGAUAUGACAUAGAACACCAAUUGCGAAGGCAGCUUACUACACAACGAUUGACGCUGGAGGCACGAAAAGCGUGGGGGAGUCAAAACAGGA
rnacentral:rRNA from 1 species